rnacentral:rRNA from 1 species
ACGCUCGACACCUACGGGAGCAGCAGUGGGGAAUAUUGCACAAUGGGGGAAACCCUGAUGCAGCGACGCCGCGUGGAGGAAGAAGGUCUUCGGAUUGUAAACUCCUGUUGUUGGGGAAAAAGAGGAUGGUACCCAACAAGGAAGUGACGGCUAACUACGUGCCAGCAGCCGCGGUAAUCUGAGGCGGGCUGGCGAAGGC